rnacentral:rRNA from 1 species
AGAGUUUGAUCCUGGCUCAGGAUGAACGCUGGCGGCGUGCCUAAUACAUGCAAGUCGGACGCAAUGCUUCGGCAUUGAGUGGCGAACGGGUGAGUAAUACAUAAGCAACCUGCCCCUGUGAGGGGGAUAACUGCUGGAAACGGCAGCUAAGACCGCAUAGGCAUACAUGACGCAUGUCGAGUAUGUUAAAUAUCCUACGGGAUAGCACAGGGAUGGGCUUAUGACGCAUUAGCUAGCUGGUGAGGUAGAGGCUCACCAGGGCGACGAUGCGUAGCCGGCCUGAGAGGGUGGACGGCCACACUGGGACUGAGACACGGCCCAGACUCCUACGGGAGGCAGCAGUAGGGAAUUUUCGGCAAUGGGCGAAAGCCUGACCGAGCAACGCCGCGUGAAGGAAGAAGUCAUUCGUGAUGUAAACUUCUGUUAUAAAGGAAGAACGGCGCCUGUAGGGAAUGACAGGCGAGUGACGGUACUUUAUGAGGAAGCCACGGCUAACUACGUGCCAGCAGCCGCGGUAAUACGUAGGUGGCGAGCGUUAUCCGGAAUCAUUGGGCGUAAAGGGUGCGUAGGCGGCGAGUUAAGUCUGAGGUAAAAGGUUGCAGCUCAACUGUAACAAGCCUUGGAAACUGACUGGCUAGAGUGCAGGAGAGGGCAGUGGAAUUCCAUGUGUAGCGGUAAAAUGCGUAGAUAUAUGGAGGAACACCAGUGGCGAAGGCGGCUGUCUGGCCUGUAACUGACGCUGAGGCACGAAAGCGUGGGGAGCAAAUAGGAUUAGAUACCCUAGUAGUCCACGCCGUAAACGAUGAGAACUAAGUGUUGGGGAAACUCAGUGCUGCAGUUAACGCAAUAAGUUCUCCGCCUGGGGAGUAUGCACGCAAGUGUGAAACUCAAAGGAAUUGACGGGGGCCCGCACAAGCGGUGGAGUAUGUGGUUUAA